rnacentral:rRNA from 1 species
CCCUUAGAUGUUCUGGGCCGCACGCGCGCUACACUGAUCGAGGCAGCGAGCCUGUCCCUCGCCGGAAGGUGCGGGUAAUCUUGUGAAACUCGAUCGUGCUGGGGAUAGACCAUUGCAAUUAUUGGUCUUCAACGAGGAAUUCCUAGUAAGCGCAAGUCAUCAGCUUGCGUUGAUUACGUCCCUGCCCUUUGUACACACCGCCCGUCGCUACUACCGAUUGAAUGGUUUAGUGAGAUCUUCGGAUUGGAGCCCUCGGGAGCAGCGAUGCUUCCUUGGGAAUUCGAGAAGUUGCUCUAACUGAAUUAUUUAGAGGAAGUAAAAGUCGUAACA